GGUGUUGAGGUGAUCAUCAAUUUCAGGAAUGAAAGAGUGGUUGGAUUCCAUGUGUUCAGAAGGAAUCCAAUGCAAGCCUUCAAGCUUAGCUCAACUCUUGUACUGGUGACCACGAGGAUUAAAGAUUACUAAUGUAAGUUCUGUGAGGCACGGGCCCUGAUGAUCUUAUUUGCUGCCUACCUCAGAGUCCCUACUAUAGAGCUGGCACUCAGUAAAUACCUGUGGAAUGAGUUAUGACUGGAAUGAGGACUCAGGAUGGACAAAUGUGUGUCUCCUGUGAUGGGGCCCUCAGAGGCAGGGACAAGGAGGUAUGUAGGGUGAUUGCCCUGAGACCCUGAAAUGAUGCCGGAAGAGUGAGCAUCUGGGAGAUCUGCCCUCGUUCCCAGUCUUCCAUCUUCACAACCUCAGGACUUUCAGUCAACCAAGCCUCCUGUGAAAUUUACCUAGUGUCUCCGGCUCACAUGGAGCUCUUUCCUCCCGACUCCACCCUGUCUAGCAGGAGGCCUGGCUAAUGCUCACCAUCCCACAAAGAACCCUGCCUGCCACAGCUGGAGCUCUUCCUAGAAGGGAUAAUGCUGAUGGAUCACUUCAGGACCAUGUGAACAUCUGCGUCUGGACUACACUCACGCAAAGGGGUAAGAUCAUGGCCUCAGACCCAAGUUUCCAGACAACUGAAGACUGACUUCCUUAUUUUUGUUGAUGGCAUCAUCUCCCACCACCUGGGUUUGGUUGGUUCCAUCUACCUGUCCAAUCUUCUACAGAAUGCAUAGACAAAUGGGGAUAGAUAUCCAGGAGGGCUCUCUAGAUAUGGGAGGAAAGUUGAAGGGCUCAUUCCAAAAAGGUUCUCUUUGGAGGGAUGGAAGAUGCAAAAUGUAUUCCAGCAGGACAUGUUAAAUCCAGGAGGUAAUGGGAAGGAAGGAAGAGACUGAAAUGGGUCAUUGUGAUGAGGGGAGGCGGGUCUCCUCCAGCCUCCCCCUGUGAGGUCCCUGAUGAAAUACAACAAAAUGCUAGUUUCUUGGCUUUCUGGGCUGGAACAGCUGCAACAGGACUUCAU